AGGGCAUUGAAAUGGCUUCUCGCCUGUGUGGGUGCGCAGGUGCAGAUUCAUGUCGCACUUGCGCGAGAAGCUCCGAGGGCAUGAAGGGCACUGAAAUGGCUUCUCGCCUGUAUGGGUGCGCAGGUGUAGUUUCACGUCGCACUUGCGCGAGAAGCUCUGAGGGCAUGAAGGGCAUUGAAAUGGCUUCUCGCCUGUGUGGGUGCGCAGGUGCUCCGUAA